CAGAGAUCAUGCCCUCAGCGGGUAGACCUCCCACCCUGUGUUAUUUACUUCGUUGCUUUGGCAUGCUAUUUUAUGCUCUUCGUGGGGCUGAGGUAUGCAUGCCAGAGGACUUUUUAACUCUGUUUUAAUGUUGUCUGAAUUGUAUAAAUUAAAGUUUUUA
rnacentral:misc_RNA from 1 species